rnacentral:rRNA from 1 species
GAUAAACCAUAUACUAGUCCACAAAUCAAGUCUGAUCUCGGAAGCUGAGUAGGGUCAGACCGAGUUAGUAAUUGGAUGGGAGACAACGUGGGAAUACCCGGUGCUUUGGCC